AGUGGGGAAUAUUGGACAAUGGGCGCAAGCCUGAUCCAGCAAUGCCGCGUGGGUGAAGAAGGUCUUCGGAUCGUAAAGCCCUUUCGGCGGGGACGAUGAUGACGGUACCCGCAGAAGAAGCCCCGGCUAACUUCGUGCCAGCAGCCGCGGUAAUACGAAGGGGGCUAGCGUUACUCGGAAUUACUGGGCGUAAAGGGCGCGUAGGCGGCGCACCAAGUCAGGCGUGAAAGCCCUGGGCUCAACCUGGGGACUGCGCUUGAUACUGGUGUGCUUGAGGAUGGAAGAGGCUCGUGGAAUUCCCAGUGUAGAGGUGAAAUUCGUAGAUAUUGGGAAGAACACCGGUGGCGAAGGCGGCGAGCUGGUCCAUUUCUGACGCUGAGGCGCGAUAGCGUGGGGAGCAAA
rnacentral:rRNA from 1 species